ACAGUGUCGCAAUAGUAAUUCAACCUAGUACGAGAGGAACCGCUGAUUCGCACAAUUGGUCAUUACGCUUGGGCGAAAAACCAAUGGCGCGAAGCUACCAUGCGUUGGAUUAUGACUGAACGCCUCUUAGUCAGAAUCUGGGCUAGAAGCGACGCCUGUGCCCGUCGCCUGUUUGCCGACCAGCAGUAGGGGCCUCGGCCCCCAAAGGCAUGUGUCGUAGACUAAGCGUGCAUGACGGAUGAGUCGUGCAGGCCGCCUUGAAGUACAAUUCCCAUCAAGCGAUGGGUAGAAUCCUUUGCAGACGGGUGACGGGAUAGAAUCCCCUAUCAACUUUCGACGGUAGGAUAGUGGCCUACUAUGGUGGUGACGGGUGACGGAGAUUUAGGGUUCGAUUUCGAAGAGGGAGCCUGAGAAACGGCUACCACAUCCAAGAAAGGCAGCAGGCGUGCAAAUUACCCAAUCCUGACACGAGGAGUUAGUGACAAUAAAUAACAAUACCAGGCUCAAACGAGUCUGGUAAUUGGAAUGAGUACAAUCUAAAUCCCUUAACAAGGAUCCAUUGGAAUAAACCAUA
rnacentral:lncRNA from 1 species